UGAUGUUUAAGACUGUAAUUUAAUUACGUUUUUCUUCUCGAAGGACUUGGGCUUGAUAAUAGGGUAUAAUGACAUUUUUCUCAUUGGUAAUUUGAGUAAUUUUUUGUUGUAGUCUUUGUAGAAUUGUAGGCUGUGUAAAAUGGAGCUGCUAAUUGAGAGAGCAGGUCACCCUAAAAUUGAUGAUGGAAUAACAGUGUUAUUGGUUGCAUCUUUUAAUCAGUGAGUCAAGUGAAGUAAAAAGAUUGCAGAUUUAUCAUAAGUUACAUGUUUAUGAUUUAUGAGGUUGAAGAGUAUCUUGUGGGAAGUGCAAAUAGCUUGUGCUCUUGGGCAUACUCUAGCCUGUAACGGUUGCUGUAGAGCUAUUGAUUUUGCUGGGUUAAAAUUAGUAAUGUCUUGACACCCAUGUGCACGGAUUUGCAUAUGAAAUUUAGUUUAAGUUCCUGUGUGUUUAAUUAGUAUUUUCAGUUAGAGUGCACUUUUUUGCAUAUCUGGUUUUAUUCAACCUUCAUAGCUGACUUUAUAUUUGUAUCUGUUAUUAACUUGUUGUCCUGGGGACAUUUACAGCGUGAGUUGGUUCUUUACUCACAAGUUACAAAACAUAAGAGAUCAUGUUGCUAUGUCUUUAGUAGUUCAUAGUUUUUUCAUCCAUGCCGAUGAUAGUUGAGAAUCAGCUACCGCGUCCCUUAACGAGAACACAAAAGGAAAUAGAUCAAGUAGUGAUGCAAUCCAAAGAUUGAAACUGACUCUAAAUUGAUGAUGAUUGCUCAACCUCACAUGACCAUUAUAGUCACAAGAUUUGAGAAGAAGCAAUUUUCUGGCAAGCAAUUUCUGAUAGAACUUCUGGCACAUCACAUAAUAUUUUGGAUGAUGGUGGAUAGAGAUCAAGAUAAGAGAAAAAGGUCAAAUGACAAGCAGUCUAAACUGAAUGUACAUGCAAGUGGAACAUAAUUGAAUGCAAGAUGUUUCUGGGGAAAUGGCUCUGGUCUCUAUUGUGGCAGAAAGUUUCUUUCUGUUGUGUGAUGGGAGGAAUUCUUUGCUAACAUAGUUGUACGUUUGUUGUGAGAGUAAACUGUACAAUGGGAAGAAUGUUUCUUGCAUUUACUUGAUUAUUAUUAUUUGCAAUCCAGUUUAUUAACACUCUUGGAAGAAUGGAAUUAAGGCACUCCUUGUUGUAAGUUGCAAGUUGCAAGUUGUAACCAUAAAAGGGAUACUAGGGUAUCACCUGUAUUUAUACAGCUGAUGUAUCACCUGUUUUGUUGCUACCUGGUUAUGCUUUUAUUUUCUUGUAUUUGGUUGGGGUAUCCCUUAUACCCCCUUUAAUAUAUAUGGUGUUG